CGAACGAUUGCAGAAGCGACUAAUACCGACAUUUCACAUACAUGGUUAUUUGACUCUACUAUUCAUUGGUUGAGAUGAGUUUUCACAAACCCAAUUCCAACACUCAAUUUGUUGGGGAUGAAAACAGGUCUUCUGCAGAGGUAUUCCAAGAGAAUAUAAUGUCAAUGGUAGUUUUUGAGUUUGAAGUGUGAAGGGAUACAACACCGUGAUAGCUCAUGGAGAAACU